rnacentral:rRNA from 1 species
UCCUAGCAGUAAAUGAUGCGGACUGGAUGCUACUUUUGCUUUGGGCAAUGGUAGUGUCGAAGCGAAGGCGAUAAGUCCGCCGCCUGGGGAGUACGGCCGCAAGGCUUAAACUUAAACCAAUUGGCGGGGGAGCACCACAAGGGGUGGAUGUUGCGGUUCAAUUGGAUAAAACGCCUGGAAUAUUACCGAGGGCGACAGCAGUAUGAAGGCCAGACUAAAGAUCUUGCCAGACG